UUUUGAAGGUGUUCAAAGGUGUUUUGAGGUUAUUCAAAGGUGUUUUGAGUGUGUUCAAAUGGUUAUGAGAGUGUUUUGAAGGUGUUCAAAGGUGUUUUGAAGGUGUUCAAAGGUGUUUUGAAGGUGUUGAAGGGUGUUUUGAUUGAAUUCAGCGGUGUUUUAGUAGUAUUCAGUGGUGUAAUUGGGAGUACUCAAAUUGUGUUUUUUUGGAAGUGUUUCAGUGUUGAUUGGAAAUGUUCAAAGGUGUUUUUGAAGGUGUUCAAGAGUGUUUUGAAGGUGUUCAAGGGUGUUUGAAGGUGUUGAAGGGUGUUUUGAUUGAAUUCAGCGGUGUUUUAGUAGUAAUCAGUGGUGUAAUUGGGAGUACUCAAAUAGUGUUUUUGGAAAUGUUCAAAGGUGUUCAAAGGUGUUUUGAAGGUGUUGAAGGGUGUUUUGAUUGAAUUCAGCGGUGUUUUAGUAGUAUUCAGUGGUGUAAUUGGGAGUACUCAAAUGGUGUUUUUGGAAGUGUUUCAGUGUUGUUUGGAAAUGUUCAAAGGUGUUCAAAGGUGUUCAAAGGUGUUUUGAGUGUGUUCAAAUGUUGUUUUUUUGAAGGUGAUCAAGGGUGUUCAAGGGUUUUUUGAAGGUGUUCAAAGGUGUUUGAGGGUUAAAUUUAAAGGUGUUUUGAAGGUGUUCAAGGGUGUUUAUGUGAGUAUUCAAAGGUGUUUUUUGAAGGUGUACAAAUGAUUAUGAGAGUACUUAUGAAGGUGUUCAAAUGAUGUUUUUUGAAGGUGUUCAAGGGUGUUUUGAAGGUGUUCAAGGGUGUUUUGAAGGUGUUCAAAGGUGUUUUGAGGUUAUUCAAAGGUGUUUUGAAGGUGUUCAAGGGUGUUUAUGUGAGUAUUCAAAGGUGUUUUGAGGUUAUUCAAAGGUGUUUUGAAGGUGUUCAAGGGUGUUUAUGUGAGUAUUCAAAGGUGUUUUUUGAAGGUGUACAAAUGAUUAUGAGAGUACUUAUGAAGGUGUUCAAAUGAUGUUUUUUGAAGGUGUUCAAGGGUGUUUUGAAGGUGUUCAAGGGUGUUUUGAAGGUGUUCAAAGGUGUUUUGAGGUUAUUCAAAGGUGUUUUGAAGGUGUUCAAGGGUGUUUAUGUGAGUAUUCAAAGGUGUUUUGAGGUUAUUCAAAGGUGUUUUGAAGGUGUUCAAGGGUGUUUAUGUGAGUAUUCAAAGGUGUUUUUUGAAGGUGUACAAAUGAUUAUGAGAGUACUUAUGAAGGUGUUCAAAUGAUGUGCAAGAGUACUUAUGAAGGUGUUCUGGGAGUAUUCAGAGGUGAUUUGGGGGUGUUCGAAUGAUGUUUUGGAGUAUUUCAGUGUUGUUUGGAAAUGUAUAAAGGUAUUUUUUUGUGAGUAUUCAAAUGAUUUAUGAGUGUUUUGAAGAUGUUCAAAGUAAAAGUGCGUAUUUAACUUCGUAAUAUGUAAAAUUGUGAGUAGUGAAUUUAACGAAAGUGGAUGUAAGCGAUGUGGUGACUUUCUGAUGCACUGUGGCCCCUUAUUAACUUUAAUGAACUAAAAGGGUUAAAACGAGAAAAAUUGGGGGUUAUGAGUGAAAAUUGUGAGGUGUUGGUUGGAGUGUGAGGGUUUGGGAGGGUGGGGAGGAGGUUACUUCGUGGGGAGUGACCUGAGAUGAAAUAGUUAAAAAAAAUGUCUAGACUUGUGUUGUAAAGAAAAUGUGAGUAUUAACGAAAAAAUGUGCCUUUCUGAUGUAUUGUGUCCCCUUAUUAACUUGAAAUGAACUAAAAGGAUCGACAAGAUUCAGCCUGUGUGCGCGUGAC